rnacentral:siRNA from 1 species
UUGUGGAAUUCGACCCUUAUGUGC